UGCAAUAGGAAAAUGUCGGCAUAAAAACCUGAAUUUCCUACUUAGUGAGUUUCGUGGGAUAUUGCAAUGUUGCGUAAUUAUCAAAACCGAAUUUAUAAAUCAAGCAGUUUAUGUAAAACAAAUUAAAUACACACACAGUUUUUUUUUGUAAUCUACAGGGAUAACAACGUAUAUGUCAUGGAGGUAGGACAUCGUUUGCAACAUUUGGGUCUUCAAAGAUUGAUGAAGCAUGUGUAUACCAUAG
rnacentral:lncRNA from 1 species